rnacentral:lncRNA from 10 species
GGAUUACAGGCCUGAGCCACUGCGCCUGACCCAUCCUGAUAUUUCUGACCGUUGUGAUCUUUUUGUAUUCCUUAAUAAAAAGCAAAACUCUCAUAUGUUUUUCCCAGAUCACAGCUGUGGCUCUGAAGCCAAUGGAUUGCUGAAUCUGUAAUCCCCUAACUGACCCUGUGGACAAAAAUAUAACAGCUGUUCCUUUAAAUACUUUAGAAUGAAAAUUCCCUUUUACAGAACCCUUCUGGUGCUGGAGUUUUCCUCAAGUCAUUAAUCCCAACCUCUAAUCUUGCAAAAAAU